CAAUCAAUCAAAUUAUAUUUUUAAUAUUUAUUUAUUUUAUUAAAAUAUUUUUUAAAACAUAUUUUUAUUAUACUUCAGAAAUAUGAUUAGCUGAAUAUAAAUAAUACGGUGUGUCUGUUACAUAGUAGACUGAGUUUUGUGACUUGGCUUUUAUAUUUUUUUUGUAAAAAAUUUUUGACUUUUUUCCUAUAUAUUAUAUUUUUAGGUUCUUUUUGAAUGCAUGGAUAUCCUUAUCAGUUUUUUCUUUAAUUUAUUCGAAAAGUUUAUGUAUUUGGUAAAUUAAAAGUAUGAUCAGAUGAUUGGAAUGGAAAAAGAUAUUCGACUUUUAAAUCUUUAAUUUUUUUUUCCAAAUACGGUAAAUCUU
rnacentral:lncRNA from 1 species